rnacentral:rRNA from 1 species
GGCUAACGCUGGCGGCGUGUCUUAGCCAUGCAAGUCGAGCGGACUUAUGGGGUAACUUAUAAGUCAGCGGCGGACGGCGGAGUAACACGUAGCUAACCUACCCUCUGGACGGGGAUAACCUACCGAAAGGUGGGCUAAUACCCGAUGUAGUCAUCCUGUAUAGGGGUGAUGAAAGGUGGGCUUCUGUUUACAAGCUCAUGCUGGAGGAGGGGGCUGCGGCCUAUCAGGUAGUUGGUAGGGUAAUAGCCUACCAAGCCGAUGACGGGUAGCCGGCCUGAGAGGGUGACCGGCCCGAGGGGCACUGAGAUACGGGUCCCACUCCUACGGGAGGCAGCAGGCUAGAAAUUUGGGCAAUGGGGGAAACCCUGACCCAGUGACGCCGCGUGCAGGAAGGAGCCCUUCGGGGUGUAAACUGCUGUCGUGUAGGGAGAAGGGUACUAAGGUGAACAAUCUUAGUACUUGACGGUACUACAGGAGGAAGCCCACGGCGUAACCUCGUGCCAGCAGCCGCGGUAAGCUACGUAGA